GUGCGCAACGAAUAGCGAAGCUGAGCUAUAAUUUAGAAAAAUUAUCGACAACGCGUUUCCCCUUCGAUUUUCCAUUUCUAAACUGUGGAUAAAGUUUCCUUGCGAACC